rnacentral:rRNA from 1 species
ACGGGUGAGUAACACGUAGGUAAUCUACCUUCGGGUGGGGAAUAACCCAGGGAAACUUGGGCUAAUACCGCAUAAUGCAGCGGCACCACAUGGUGACAGUUGUUAAAGCGGGGGAUCUUCGGAUCUCGCGCCUGAAGAGGAGCCUGCGGCAGAUUAGCUAGUUGGUAGGGUAACGGCUUACCAAGGCAACGAUCUGUAGCCGGCCUGAGAGGGCGGUCGGCCACACUGACACUGACAUACGGGUCAGACUCCUACGGGAGGCAGCAGUCGGGAAUUUUGGGCAAUGGGCGAAAGCCUGACCCAGCAACGCCGCGUGAAGGAUGAAAUCCCUCGGGAUGUAAACUUCGCAAGAAUAGGAAGAAUUAGUAGGGGUUAAUACCCCCUAUGAUGACGGUACUAUUUGUAAGCUCCGGCUAACUCCGUGCCAGCAGCCGCGGUAAUACGGGGGGAGCAAGCGUUGUUCGGAUUUACUGGGCGUAAAGGGCGCGUAGGCGGUCAGCACAAGUCAGUUGUGAAAUCUCCGGGCUUAACUCGGAAAGGUCAACUGAUACUGUGCGACUAGAGUGCAGAAGGGGCAACUGGAA